GAUGAACGCUGGCGGCGUGCCUAAUACAUGCAAGUCGAGCGAACAGACGAGGAGCUUGCUCCUCUGACGUUAGCGGCGGACGGGUGAGUAACACGUGGAUAACCUACCUAUAAGACUGGGAUAACUUCGGGAAACCGGAGCUAAUACCGGAUAAUAUAUUGAACCGCAUGGUUCAAUAGUGAAAGACGGUUUUGCUGUCACUUAUAGAUGGAUCCGCGCCGCAUUAGCUAGUUGGUAAGGUAACGGCUUACCAAGGCAACGAUGCGUAGCCGACCUGAGAGGGUGAUCGGCCACACUGGAACUGAGACACGGUCCAGACUCCUACGGGAGGCAGCCGUAGGGAAUCUUCCGCAAUGGGCGAAAGCCUGACGGAGCAACGCCGCGUGAGUGAUGAAGGUCUUCGGAUCGUAAAACUCUGUUAUUAGGGAAGAACAAAUGUGUAAGUAACUAUGCACGUCUUGACGGUACCUAAUCAGAAAGCCACGGCUAACUACGUG
rnacentral:rRNA from 1 species